rnacentral:rRNA from 1 species
AUAAAUGUUUCUUUUUUUAAGAAAAAAAAAAAACUCGUUCUCGUCCGAUCACGAAAGUUAAGCAGCGCUGGGCACGGAUAGUACUUAGAUGGGUGACCGCUUGGGAACUCCGUGUGAUGUUGGUU